rnacentral:tRNA from 5 species
GGGCGGUUCGCAUAGCGGCAAUUGCUCCACGCUGUAAACGUGGCGUCUACGGACUGCGCAGGUUCGAGUCCUGCACCGCCCA